AUGAUACGCGAGGAACCGUUACCUGGGCUCGAACGUAAGAUGACUGUAGGUGAAAGCUUACAUCUCUUCGGAGCAUUUUACGUAGGUGCUGCAUGGUUGUCGUCAGCUCGUGCCGUGAGGUGUCGGGUUAAGUCCCAUAACGAGCGCAACCCCUACCUUUAGUUGCCAUCAGGUUAAGCUGGGGACUCUAAAGGAACUGCCUACGCAAGUAGUGAGGAAGGCGGGGAUGACGUCAAAUCAGCACGGCCCUUACGUCCAGGGCUACACACGUGCUACAAUGGCCGAUACAGAGGGCAGCUACCUGGUGACAGGAUGCAAAUCUCCAAAGUCGGUCUCAGUUCGGAUCGGAGUCUGCAACCCGACUCCGUGAAGUUGGAUUCGCUAGUAAUCGCGCAUCAGCCAUGGCGCGGUGAAUACGUUCCCGGGCCUU
rnacentral:rRNA from 1 species